GAGAACACAGACACAUUCAAUGCAGUAUUUCCAUGGACACAAGUGGAAGAUUGUCAGAAAAAUGGAGGAUCCUCCCAAUCCUCUAAGCUUUUACAGGAGAAGCUGAGUUACUACUUGGACAUCGUGGAGGUCCACAUAGCAAAGCAGAUCUCCACCAAGUCAGACGCCUUCUUCCAAGCGGUGUCAUCUCAUGACGUGCUACAGGAAAAUAUGCUGAAAACCUGUCAGUCCAUCAAGCAGCUGAGGGACAAGAUCCAGUGUAUUGAUGAGCUGCUGACCCUAGGGUCACUGAAGAUAAUGAAGCUAUCUCAGACCAGGGCAAACUAUGUCAAUCUUCAUAAUAAGCUGAAGUUAAUGGCCACUGUUCACCAGACACAGCCUACUAUACAGUUACUGCUGUCCACUCAAGAGUUUGUGGGGGCCCUAGAUCUCAUCUCCACCACCCAGGAAGUCCUGACCCAGGAGUUGGCAGGGGUACAUAGCUUCAGACAUCUUGGUUCCCAGUUAGCUGAGUUAGAGAACAUCAUAGAGAGGAUGUUACAGGAGGAUUUUGGAAAAUGUGUGUCUUCUGACCUAAAUCGACCAAUCGCUGAUACUGAGCCACUGAUGGAAGAGGAGAAGAUUGUAUCCCUUGUGUUUGGAAUGCUGAGGAAGAGUCGUUUUAACUUUGUAGAUGUUUACAGAGAGGAGGCUUUCACAGCGGUCAAGGCCAUUGUUAAACAGACGGUAGUAGAGGCUGUGUCGGUUGCUGAGAAUGUGGAUACAGAGGAUGGUAGUGUCAGCAGCCUGGCCGAUCAGAUGAGAAUGUUGAAUUAUCCUCAGUGGAUGGAUCUCCUCAAACAAAUCUUCUCUAACUUAUUGGUGCAUCUCAAAAGAGCAAAGACAUUCCAUGGAGUGAUCAGUGAUGUGAUAGGGAUAGCCGCAGGGAAGACCCUGGUCCCCAGCCCCCUACCCUCCCCCACACAGGAGGAUUGUCUCCUGAGUGAAGCCACUCAUCUACAUGUCUCUGUGAGUGAGGAGGCGGCAGAUGUGAUGAUUUCGGAAGCUGAGUAUGUCACGGUCCAGGCAAAACUUAAUGAGAUGUUGUGUGCUGUAUGUGACCACGCCCAUGAUAGGUGUGUCAAGGUCAUUACAGCCAGGUCAAAGGAUGGAUUUCUGGAGCGUUUGUCUUCCAGUGAAUUUGUGGCUCUGUCCAGGGAAGUGGAGAAGUUUGUGACGGAUUGUGAGACCAUCAGCGGGCGUCGGUGUAUGUCCCUCAGAUUUAGUCUGCAGUCACAGGCAUCCAAAUUUGUGAACAGAUUUCAUGAGGAGAGACGGACAAAACUCAGCCUGAUCCUGGAUAAUGAGCGAUGGAGACAGGCCGAUGUCCCUGCAGAGUUCCAGGAACUUGUCAAUCACAUCACACGCACAGGCAUGCUUACCAUACCAGACAGGACAGCAGACUCAGAGAAAGGUCCUGCUGAAGUGCUGGUGGUGGAGACCCAGACAUUUGCUGUUGUGGGCACUGUGCUGAUGUUAAUGAAGAUGAUGGUGGAGUAUUGUCAGUGUGUGGACAACAUUCCCUCGGCCGCCCCUGACCUGAUGUCUAGACUGGUCGACCUUUUCAAGAUUUUCAACUCAAGAACUUGUCAGUUGGUUCUUGGUGCAGGUGCUCUGCAACUUGUGGGGCUAAAAACCAUUUCUACAAAAAAUUUAGCCCUGGCAUCGAGGUGCUUGCAGUUGGUUGUUUACUUCAUUCCAAAAGUCCGCCAGCAUUUUGAGGAAAAACUUGUGUCUAAAAAUAAAUCAAUGCUCAGAAACCUGGACCAGGUACAAAAGGACUACACGGACCAUAUCAAUGAAAUUACAAACAAACUUGUGAGUGUCAUGGAAGCUGUCAUAGCCCAACAGCUGUCAAAGUGGGAAGUGAAGGCCCCAAUGCCAUCAAUGUGUUUUAGAUCCAUUUGUAAACAAAUCAGCAAGAUGCAUGAGGCUGUCCUUGACAUACUUCCAGCAGAUCAGGUCAAGGAACUGUUUGGGAGGAUAAACAGUUGUUUUAAGAAGUUGGUCGCUCAGCAGCUGAACACACUGGAGGUCUCCAAGAAUGGCGGCCCUCAGCAUGGGCUGGUGAUGUCCGACCUUGCAUUCUACUCGGGAACAUUCAAGACAUUACGAGGAUUAGAGAGCCUGGCUCAGGAUACAAAUGAUGUGUGGGAUAUCAGGUGACAGCGUUUCUCCCAGUCAGUAGUCGCCUCUGUAUGUGCAAUAAACAAACCCUUGGCAUUCCGUGGAAUCAAGCUCACUCUCUUCACACAUUUGCCGUGUGUUUUAUUUAUUGAAGACAGUGCUGUUUUAUGCAUUUUAUAAAAUGUUUAUUUUCCAAGUCUGUGAUUAAAGUAAUCUAUGGCAGUGAUAUGUAUACUCUAAUAAAACAUAAUUUAU
rnacentral:misc_RNA from 1 species